UACAGAGGGGGCAAGCGUUGUUCGGAAUUACUGGGCGUAAAGGGCGCGUAGGCGGCCCUUCUAAGUCGAACGUGAAAUCCCCGGGCUCAACCCGGGAACUGCGUCCGAUACUGGAAGGCUUGAAUCCGGGAGAGGGAUGUGGAAUUCCAGGUGUAGCGGUGAAAUGCGUAGAUAUCUGGAGGAACACCGGUGGCGAAGGCGACAUCCUGGACCGGUAUUGACGCUGAGGCGCGAAAGCUAGGGGGAGCGAACGGG
rnacentral:rRNA from 1 species